rnacentral:rRNA from 1 species
GUAGUCCAUGCCGUAAACGUUGGGCACUAGGUGUGGGGCUCAUUCCACGAGUUCCGUGCCGCAGCAAACGCAUUAAGUGCCCCGCCUGGGGAGUACGGCCGCAAGGCUAAAACUCAAAGAAAUUGACGGGGGCCCGCACAAGCGGCGGAGCAUGCGGAUUAAUUCGAUGCAACGCGAAGAACCUUACCAAGGCUUGACAUACACCGGAAACUUCCAGAGAUGGUUGCCCCGCAAGGUCGGUGUACAGGUGGUGCAUGGUUGUCGUCAGCUCGUGUCGUGAGAUGUUGGGUUAAGUCCCGCAACGAGCGCAACCCUCGUCCUAUGUUGCCAGCGGGUCAUGCCGGGGACUCAUAGGAGACUGCCGGGGUCAACUCGGA